GCAGAUGGCGCGGGAUGAUGCGCGUCUUCUUGUUGUCGCGGGCCGCGUUGCCCGCCAGCUCCAGGAUCUCGGCCGUUANNNNNUCCAGCACCGCCGCCAUGUACACCGGCGCGCCGGCGCCCACGCGCUCCGCGUAGUUGCCCUUGCGCAGCAGCCGGUGCACACGCCCCACCGGGAACUGCAGCCCGGCGCGGGACGACCGCGACUUCGCCUUGGCGCGGGCCUUGCCUCCUUGUUUGCCACGGCCAGACAUGGCGGAAUAAGCAAUUUCUGCUGCUUUUUCCAAGGGAAGGAUAUGGAAAGGCCCCACUCUGUGAUCUCCUACGAGUUCCUUAGCAACCGUGGAAUCUAACCUCAGAAGACACCAAAGUCCCGCAUGCAUAAGGAC
ensembl:antisense Gm15444 predicted gene 15444